rnacentral:rRNA from 1 species
AGCGAUGAAACUUUAACAGAACCCUUCGGGGCGAAGAUAAAGUGGAUUAGCGGCGGACGGGUGAGUAACACGUGAGUAACCUGCCUUAGACAUUGGGAUAGCCUCGGGAAACCGGGAUUAAUACCAAAUAAAAUCAUAAUGACACAUGUCAUAACGAUCAAAACUCCGGUGGUCUAAGAUGGACUCGCGUCCCAUUAGCUAGUUGGUAGAGUAAAAGCCUACCAAGGCGACGAUGGGUAGCCGGCCUGAGAGGGUGAACGGCCACAUUGGAACUGAGAAACGGUCCAAACUCCUACGGGAGGCAGCAGUGGGGAAUACUGCACAAUGGAGGGAACUCUGAUGCAGCGACGCCGCGUGAACGAAGAAGGCUUUCGAGUCGUAAAGUUCUUUUAUAGGGAAGAUAAGACGGUACCAUAAGAAA